GACGAAGGGGGCUAGCGUUGUUCGGAAUUACUGGGCGUAAAGGGUGCGUAGGCGGCGCGGUAAGUCGGGUGUGAAAUCUCGGAGCUUAACUCCGAAACUGCAUUCGAUACUGCCGUGCUUGAGGACUGGAGAGGAGACUGGAAUUUACGGUGUAGCGGUGAAAUGCGUAGAUAUCGUAAGGAAGACCAGUGGCGAAGGCGGGUCUCUGGACAGUUCCUGACGCUGAGGCACGAAGGUCAGGGGAGCAAACGGG
rnacentral:rRNA from 1 species